CACACACCCCGGAGGGGAUUCAGGAGAUGGCUCCGUGGGUGGAGGGUGGCUGAACCCAGAGCUUUGUCCCCAUGGCUCCCAGUCCCUCCCUCCUGGGACUCUUCUUUGCCAGUUCCUCAAAGCAAGACCAGAUACAAAAUGCACUGCAAAUGGAGGUACAGAACCCCGUCUCCAGAGUGUCUUGUCUUUGCCAGAUUGAAGCCAAAACUAAACAGCACAAAGGACUCCUGAGGCCCCUCCCCUCCCUGAGGACCUCCCGGUGGCUAAUGGUUGGGGAGAGUGAGUGGCCAUUUUCUCUAGUGUUUCAGCCACGAGUGGGUUGUACAUGGUCCCGUGAGUAACCUCCCACCCUUGCUCCUGUGAUGGAACCCAGUGGGUCACACAAAAUCCAGGUUAAAUUUAAAUCCUUUCAAAGGAGCCAGCGAGAUAAAUCCACAUGUAAAGUUAUUUCCACAUAAGCCUGACAAGAAUUCAACCCCCAGAACCCACACAAGGCCGAGAGAGCACAGCUGCUCACAUCUGUAAUCACAGCAUUCCAAGGGGAGAUGGGAGGUAGGGACAGGUGCUUCCUAGAGUGCACAGUAGCUGAUGAUCACAGCAGCUUGGCAGAAACUGUUUACUCAGCAAGGAGGAAAGAGAAGACCUACUCCUAAAGAUGGUUCUCUGACCUCCACAGGCAUGGUGUGGCCCAUGUGCACGCAGACACACUCGUGUGUGCGCACAUGCGCGCGCGUGCACACACACACACACAUGCACAUGGAAUAAAAACGUUUUAAACAUAA
rnacentral:lncRNA from 1 species